rnacentral:rRNA from 1 species
UACCAGCAUCCCGAGUGGUCGGGACGUUUAUUGGGCCUAAAGCAUCCGUAGCCGGUUCUACAAGUCUUCCGUUAAAUCCAACUGCUUAACAGGUGGGCUGCGGAAGAUACUAUAGAGCUAGGAGGCGGGAGAGGCAAGCGGUACUCGAUGGGUAGGGGUAAAAUCCGUUGAUCCAUUGAAGACCACCAGUGGCGAAGGCGGCUUGCCAGAACGCGCUCGACGGUGAGGGAUGAAAGCUGGGGGAGCAAACCGG